CCUACGGGGGGCAGCAGUGGGGAAUAUUGCGCAAUGGGCGAAAGCCUGACGCAGCGACGCCGCGUGAGGGAUGACGGCCUUCGGGUUGUAAACCUCUUUCAGCAGGGACGAAGCAACUCGUGACGGUACCUGCAGAAGAAGCACCGGCUAACUACGUGCCAGCAGCCGCGGUAAUACGUAGGGUGCAAGCGUUGUCCGGAUUUAUUGGGCGUAAAGAGCUCGUAGGCGGUUUGUCGCGUCGGGUGUGAAAACCAGCAGCUUAACUGCUGGCCUGCAUUCGAUACGGGCAGACUUGAGGACGGUAGGGGAGACUGGAACUCCUGGUGUAGCGGUGGAAUGCGCAGAUAUCAGGAAGAACACCGGUGGCGAAGGCGGGUCUCUGGGCCGUUCCUGACGCUGAGGAGCGAAAGCGUGGGUAGCGAACAGGAUUAGAUACCCUAGUAGUC
rnacentral:rRNA from 1 species